GACGAACGCUGGCGGCGUGCCUAAUACAUGCAAGUCGAACGAGAGCGACCGGUGCUUGCACUGGUCAAUCUAGUGGCGAACGGGUGAGUAACACGUGGGUAACCUGCCCAUCAGAGGGGGAUAACAUUCGGAAACGGAUGCUAAAACCGCAUAGGUUCUUUAGUCGCAUGACUGGAGAAGGAAAAGAGGCUUCGGCUUCUGCUGAUGGAUGGACCCGCGGUGCAUUAGCUAGUUGGUGAGGUAACGGCUCACCAAGGCCGUGAUGCAUAGCCGACCUGAGAGGGUGAUCGGCCACAUUGGGACUGAGACACGGCCCAAACUCCUACGGGAGGCAGCAGUAGGGAAUCUUCCGCAAUGGACGCAAGUCUGACGGAGCAACGCCGCGUGAGUGAAGAAGGAUUUCGGUUCGUAAAACUCUGUUGUUAGAGAAGAACAGCGCAUAGAGUAACUGUUAUGCGUGUGACGGAUCUAACCAGAAGC
rnacentral:rRNA from 1 species